CAGUCGCCGCGGUAAUACGUAGGGUGCAAGCGUUAAUCGGAAUUACUGGGCGUAAAGCGUGCGCAGGCGGUUAUAUAAGACAGAUGUGAAAUCCCCUGGCUCAACCUGGGAACUGCAUUUGUGACUGUAUAGCUAGAGUACGGCAGAGGGGGAUGGAAUUCCGCGUGUAGCAGUGAAAUGCGUAGAUAUGCGGAGGAACACCGAUGGCGAAGGCAAUCCCCUGGGCCUGUACUGACGCUCAUGCACGAAAGCGUGGGGAGCAAACAGGAUUAGAUACCCGUGUAGUCCCUGUCUCUUAUAC
rnacentral:rRNA from 1 species